rnacentral:rRNA from 1 species
UACGAAGGGGGCUAGCGUUGCUCGGAAUUACUGGGCGUAAAGCGCACGUAGGCGGAUUGUUAAGUCGGGGGUGAAAUCCUGGAGCUCAACUCCAGAACUGCCUUCGAUACUGGCGAUCUCGAGUUCGGGAGAGGUGAGUGGAACUGCGAGUGUAGAGGUGAAAUUCGUAGAUAUUCGCAAGAACACCAGUGGCGAAGGCGAGUCUCUGGACAUUUCCUGACGCUGAGGCACGAAAGCCAGGGGAGCAAACGGG